rnacentral:rRNA from 1 species
AUUGAACGCUAGCGGCAUGCUUUACACAUGCAAGUCGAACGAGUGGCGGACGGGUGAGUAAUGUAUCGGAACGUGCCCAGUAGAGGGGGAUAACUACUCGAAAGAGUGGCUAAUACCGCAUACUAUUGGAGCGGCCGAUAUGGGAUUAGCUAGUUGGUGGGGUAAAGGCUCACCAAGCCGACGAUCCCUAGCUGGUCUGAGAGGACGACCAGCCACACUGGGACUGAGACACGGCCCAGACUCCUACGGGAGGCAGCAGUGGGGAAUAUUGGGCAAUGGGGGAAACCCUGACGCAGCCAUGCCGCGUGAAUGAGAAGGCCUUCGGGUUGUAAAGUACUUUUGGCAGAGAAGCGUUAUCUACAGAAGAAGCACCGGCUAACUACGUGCCAGCAGCCGCGGUAAUUC